rnacentral:antisense_RNA from 1 species
AUAGAGCAACAGCUUCUAUACAGUUUUAAGUAGGCCCCGGUAAUCUUCGACUCCGCCAAGAAUUGAAAGAUUUCCGGGGUUUUUGCUU